GGCAGGUUUGAGAAGCAGGCAUGAAGACCUGGAGGGCGGUAUGAGAAAGAAAGGGACACUCUUUUAACAGGGUCUGCUGUGCUAGGACGAGGGGAAGCGGUUUCGAACUGAAAGAGGAGAGAUGUAGACUGGAUACAAAGAUACAGAUACAAAGAAGUCCUUUGCAAGAAGGGCGGGAGGCCCCUGGCACAGGCUGCACGGAGAGGUGGUGGUGCCCCAUCCCUGCAGACAGCCCAGGUCAGGCUGGAUGGGCUCUGAGCACUGCUGGAGCUGUGGGUGUCCCUGUGCACUGCAGGGAGUGGGACCUGAUGGCCUUUAAGGGUCCCUCCCCGCUCAAGCCGUUCUGUGGUUCUAUGAAGAAGCGACUGGGGAGAAGCUGGAGGAGGAGAAGGAACAUCCCUCUGAAGGAAAAGAUGUGGCUGCUGUGCUGGGUGCCGUGUGCCAGGAGAUGGCAACUGGGAUUGAUAAGAAAUGGCCAAAAAGUGCUGAGGUUCAUGGCAGGACACGGAAGAUGGACUUCACUACAUUCAGUAGCAAAGAUUUAACAACAAAGUUAAUUAUUUUAUACAAAACAGAGAAAGAAGCUGAACGAGCCCCGCUACAGAAGAACUUGCCCAGUGGCUAGUCUCCUCCAAGCUGGGAAGUGGUCUGCAAAGUCUCCUCCAGCACUUUCAGAUGAGUAACCUGACCCAUGGGCACACUAUAUAAUGAGAAAAGGAUUAACUAUAUAUAUUAAUUAUCAGGAGACUGUCCAGCCUCGUACCGCAGAAGGAAGACUCAGUCACUCAACCCUGUGUGCUCAGCUGAGCACAAUCCAGACUUGCUCUCAGGAUGAACUUUGUUCACCAUCUUUGCUGCAAAUGCUGAAACUCAGACUGAGUGGCAUCAGGCUGAUCCCUGAUACUCUUCCUGUGUACCUUGCUCAAAACUAAGGGUCACCUACAAAUGUGGAGCAGCAAUGCCAAGCUCUACUCAUAACACAUCUUCACGUAUACAGAUGAGGCUCUGCUGUCAUACCUUGAGACAGGCUGAAAUCAUCAAGAAAUGAGGAUUUCUUCCAGCCUGCUACCAGGC
rnacentral:lncRNA from 1 species